rnacentral:rRNA from 1 species
UCGGGAAUUUUGGGCAAUGGGCGAAAGCCUGACCCAGCAACGCCGCGUGAAGGAUGAAGUAUUUCGGUAUGUAAACUUCGAAAGAAUAGGAAGAAUAAAUGACGGUACUAUUUAUAAGGUCCGGCUAACUACGUGCCAGCAGCCGCGGUAAUACGUAGGGACCAAGCGUUGUUCGGAUUUACUGGGCGUAAAGGGCGCGUAGGCGGCAUGACAAGUCACUUGUGAAAUCUCUGGGCUUAACCCAGAACGGCCAAGUGAUACUGUCGCGCUAGAGUGCAGAAGGGGCAAUCGGAAUUCUUGGUGUAGCGGUGAAAUGCGUAGAUAUCAAGAGGAACACCUGAGGUGAAGACGGGUUGCUGGGCUGACACUGACGCUGAGGCGCGAAAGCCAGGGGAGCAAACGGGGAUUAGAUACCCAGGUAGUCCCUGAGCGGGCUGGCAAGGCGCAU